UAGGGAAUCUUCCGCAAUGGACGAAAGUCUGACGGAGCAACGCCGCGUGAGUGAAGAAGGUUUUCGGAUCGUAAAACUCUGUCUUUUGGGGCGAACGUGAGUAUGGUGAACAAUCAUAGUCAGUGACGGUACCAAAGGAGGAAGCCACGGCUAACUACGUGCCAGCAGCCGCGGUAAUACGUAGGUGGCAAGCGUUGUCCGGAAUUAUUGGGCGUAAAGAGCGCGUAGGCGGGAUAGUCAGUCUGUUGUAAAAGUGCGGGGCUCAACCCCGUGAUGGCAAUGGAAACAGCUAUUCUUGAGUGCAGGAGAGGAAAGUGGAAUUCCCAGUGUAGCGGUGAAAUGCGUAGAUAUUGGGAGGAACACCAGUGGCGAAGGCGACUUUCUGGACUGUGUCUGACGCUGAGGCGCGAAAGCCAGGGGAGCGAACGGGAUUAGAUACCCCGGUAGUCCUGGCCGUAAACGAUGGGUACUAGGUGUGGGAGGUAUCGACCCCUUCCGUGCCGGAGUUAACGCAAUAAGUACCCCGCCUGGGGAGUACGGUCGCAAGACUGAAACUCAAAUGAAUUGACGGGGUCAUAGCUGUUUCCUG
rnacentral:rRNA from 1 species